AAAGUCGGAAUGGGUGUUGAAAGAUUACCGACAAGAUGAGGGAAACACGCAACCCUCGUUCGAUGCGGGUAAUUAUUCCAACAGUUCCGCAUCGAUGCCGCUGCU
rnacentral:sRNA from 10 species